UACGGAGGAUGCGAGCGUUAUCCGGAUUUAUUGGGUUUAAAGGGUGCGUAGGCGGACGCUUAAGUCAGCGGUAAAAUUGCGGGGCUCAACCUCGUCGAGCCGUUGAAACUGGGUGCCUUGAGUGGGCGAGAAGUACGCGGAAUGCGUGGUGUAGCGGUGAAAUGCAUAGAUAUCAUGCAGAACUCCGAUUGCGAAGGCAGCGUACCGGCGCCCAACUGACGCUGAAGCACGAAGGCGUGGGUAUCGAACAGG
rnacentral:rRNA from 1 species